rnacentral:rRNA from 1 species
AUUGAACGCUGGCGGCAGGCCUAACACAUGCAAGUCGAACGGUAACAGGAAGAGGCUUGCUUCUUUGCUGACGAGUGGCGGAGGGGUGAGUAAUGUCUGGGAAACUGCCUGAUGGAGGGGGGUAACUACUGGAAACGGUAGCUAAAACCGCAUAACGUCGCAAGACCAAAGAGCGGGAGCUCCGUGCCUCUUGCCCGCGGGUGUGACCAGAUGGGAUUAGCUAGUAGGUGGGGUAACGGCUCACCCAGGCGACGAUCCCUAGCUGGUCUGAGAGGAUGACCAGCCACACUGGAACUGAGACACGGUCCAGACUCCUACGGGAGGCAGCAGUGGGGAAUAUUGCACAAUGGGCGCAAGCCUGAUGCAGCCAUGCCGCGUGUAUGAAGAAGGCCUUCGGGUUGUAAAGUACUUUCAGCGGGGAGGAAGGGAGUAAAGUUAAUACCUUUGCUCAUUGACGUUACCCGCAGAAGAAGCACCGGCUAACUCCGUG